GCGGUGGCUAGUGUCCAAAUGGCAAAAAAGGAAAAGCGGACGAUGGCACGUUGCUCGCGUGAAGAGCCCUGGUGAGGCGAGGCGAGGCGAGGCAAAGAGAGAGAGAGAGAGAGAGAGAGAGAGAGAGAGAGAGAGACGUUAUGUUUGGUGAGAGAUGGAGAAGAGAGAGACAUGGGAAGAGUCUGGUCAGGGGUGAAGUGACAUUAGCAAAAGAGAGUGAGUUCAUAUUUCACCCUGAGAAAAAUGGGGAAGAAUUAAAUGAAGAUCAAUAAUUAAUUGGUGAAAAUCGGUUGUGUGUGAA